rnacentral:rRNA from 1 species
UACGUAGGGGGCUAGCGUUGCCCGGAAUCAUUGGGCGCAAAGCGCGUGUAGGCGGUCCGGUAAGUCCGCUGUGAAAGUCGGGGGCUCAACCCUCGAAUGCCGGUGGAUACUGUCGGGCUAGAGUGCGGAAGAGGCGAGUGGAAUUCCUGGUGUAGCGGUGGAAUGCGCAGAUAUCAGGAGGAACACCAAUAGCGAAGGCAGCUCGCUGGGACGUUACUGACACUGAGGCGCGAAAGCGUGGGAGCGAACAGG